rnacentral:misc_RNA from 1 species
GAUGAAGAACGUAGCGAAAUGCGAUACUUGGUGUGAAUUGCAGAAUCCCGUGAACCAUCGAGUCUUUGAACGCAAGUUGCGCCCGAAGCCGUUAGGCCGAGGGCACGUCUGCCUGGGCGUCACGCACCGUCGCCCCCUCCCCAAACCAGUCUUUUUGACGGGAUUGGGUGGGGCGGAUAUUGGCCUCCCGUGCGAAUGCGUGCGGCUGGCCCAAAAUCGAGUCCCCGGCUUUGUUUGCCGCGACAUUCGGUGGUUGUCGAUCUUUCGGUGCCCUGUCGCGCGCAAAGUAGCUUAGCCGAGGGACUGUGAGCAAAGACCCUAACGCGCGCUUUGAUGGACCCAUUGAGGCGCCCUCGACGCGACCCCAGGUCAGGCGGGGCUACCCGCUGAGUUUAAGCAUAUCAAUAAGCGGAGGA